GAUGAAGAACGCAGCGAAACGCGAUAGUUAAUGUGAAUUGCAGAAUUCAGUGAAUCAUCGAAUCUUUGAACGCACAUUGCGCCCCUUGGUAUCCCGAGGGGCAUGCCUGUUCGAGCGUCAUUUCACCACUCAAGCCUGGCUUGGUGUUGGGCGACGUCCCCUUUGGGGACGCGCCUCGAAACGCUCGGCGGCGUGGCACCGGCUUUAAGCGUAGCAGAAUCUUUCGCUUUGGAAGUCGGGGCCCCGUCUGCCGGAAGACCUACUCGCAAGGUUGACCUCGGAUCAGGCAGGGAUACCCGCUGAACUUAAGCAUAUCAAUAAGCGGAGGA
rnacentral:misc_RNA from 1 species